CGCCACCUCCCACCAGCGGCCGAAGCGCCACCAAGCAGCUAGCUCACCUACACUGCAUGCUACAGCCUACUGACAGUCUGUAGUAGUAGUACAAUGUCAUGCUACUGCGGUGUCCUCAUGUAAUUAAUUUGGUAUUCAGAUCAAGUGCAGCGGUCGAGGAGGCAGCUCAUUGAAAAAGGUAGAGAGAAGAGUUGACCACCUUCCGAAAAUCCUUUCGACUUUGAAGUUUCGUGCACCGUCUUUCAGCAGACACGUUUUUUUCUAACCUCGUUCGUUCGGUAACUCAAGUACGCCGUUGGAGUCUCGCAGUCUAGCCCAGCUUGGUUUGAAACAGCGCUCGGUGAAGAGAAUCUAUGCGUGCGGACGCCUCGUGCUAGGGCGUUUGGGCGCAGGAAACCGCGGGUGCUGGCAGUCGCAUCCUGCAGCAGGAAAUUUGUCCGAAUACUUGUACCUGAGCAGCCGUCCCAUCGGAUCUCGAAGGACUAGCUACCCGUGCCACUCAACAUUUCCAAACACUCACUGUUUCCAUUGGUGGCAAGUCAGCACACAAGCACUAGUACUGUGGCCAGUAUUGUGGCUAGUACUGUUGUUGGUACUCUGGCCCAGGUAAGACAGUAUUAUUAUAC